GACGAACGCUGGCGGCGUGCCUAAUACAUGCAAGUAUAACGCAGUUGUGAACGGGUGAGUAACGCGUAGGUAACUGCCUCAUAGCGGGGGAUAACUAUUGGAAACGAUAGCUAAUACCGCAUACUGUGAGAUGGACUUUCGUUGUAUUAGCUAGUUGGUGAGGUAAAGGCUCACCACGGCGACGCUACAUAGCCGACCUGAGAGGGGAAUCGGCCCCACUGUGACGGAGACACGGCGCAGACUCCUACAGGAGGGAGCAGUAGGGAAUCUUGGGAAAUGGGCGGAAGUAUGAGCGAGCAACGCCGCGUGAGUGAAGAAGGUUUUCGGAGCGUAAAGCUCUGUUGGGAGAGGAGCGGUAAAUAAACAAAAAGGGACGGCUAACUACGUGCCAGCAGCCGCGGUAAUAC
rnacentral:rRNA from 1 species